rnacentral:rRNA from 1 species
UACGUAGGGUGCAAGCGUUGUCCGGAAUUAUUGGGCGUAAAGAGCUCGUAGGCGGUCUGUUGCGUCGGCUGUGAAAACCCGGGGCUCAACUCCGGGCCUGCAGCCGAUACGGGCAGACUAGAGUUCGGCAGGGGAGACUGGAACUCCUGGUGUAGCGGUGAAAUGCGCAGAUAUCAGGAGGAACACCGGUGGCGAAGGCGGGUCUCUGGGCCGAUACUGACGCUGAGGAGCGAAAGCGUGGGGAGCGAACAGG